rnacentral:rRNA from 1 species
AACGAACGCUGGCGGCAUGCCUAACACAUGCAAGUCGAACGGGGUCCUAGCUUGCUAGGUGAGAGUGGCGGACGGGUGAGUAACACGUGGGAAUCUGCCCUUUGGUCCGGGAUAACCGCGGGAAACUGCGGCUAAUACCGGAUGCCCUCGCGAGAGGAAAGAUUUAUCGCCAGAGGAGGAGCCCGCGUCCGAUUAGGUAGUUGGUGGGGUAAAGGCCUACCAAGCCGACGAUCGGUAGCUGGUCUGAGAGGAUGAUCAGCCACACUGGGACUGAGAUACGGCCCAGACUCCUACGGGAGGCAGCAGUGGGGAAUAUUGGACAAUGGUGGCAACCCUGAUCCAGCAAUGCCGCGUGAGUGAUGAAGGCCUUAGGGUUGUAAAGCUCUUUUGCCAGGGAAGAUGAUGACUGUACCUGGAGAAUAAGCCCCGGCUAACUUCGUGCCAGCCGCCGCCGUAA